CUCAGACAGCCAGGAUGUUGGCUUAGAAGCAGCCAUCAUUUAAAGAAAGCGUAAUAGCUCACUGGUCGAGUCGGCCUGCGCGGAAGAUUUAACGGGGCUAAGCUAUACACCGAAGCUGCGGCAAUGCAUUUUAUGUAUUGGGUAGGGGAGCGUUCUGUAAGCCGUUGAAGGUGGUCUGUAAGGGCUGCUGGAGGUAUCAGAAGUGCGAAUGCUGACAUGAGUAACGAUAAAGGGAGUGAAAAACUCCCUCGCCGGAAGAUCAAGGGUUCCUGUCCAACGUUAAUCGGGGCAGGGUAAGUCGACCCCUAAGGCGAGGCCGAAAGGCGUAGUCGAUGGGAAACAGGUUAAUAUUCCUGUACUGCUUAUAACUGCGAUGGGGGGACGGAGAAGGCUAGGUGGGCUUGGCGACGGUCGUCCAAGUUCAAGGGUGUAGGCUGAUUUCUUAGGUAAAUCCGGGAAAUCAUUAAGGCUGAGACCCGAUGUCGAGUCACUACGGUGAUGAAGUCAUUGAUGCCAUGCUUCCGGGAAAAGCCUCUAAGCUUCAGGUUAUAAGCAAUCGUACCCCAAACCGACACAGGUGAUCAGGUAGAGAAUACCAAGGCGCUUGAGAGAACUCGGGUGAAGGAACUAGGCAAAAUGGUACCGUAACUUCGGGAGAAGGUACGCUCCUAGCGGUGAUGA
rnacentral:rRNA from 1 species